UUUAUCAAAAAAUAAUAAUUUUACUUAGUGUCAGUGAUGUAAAGGACAUCUGACGCCGCCGGGCGACCCGGCUGGCGUGAAAAAUGUAGUAGAAAAAUAGUCUUACUAAAAAGUCAACAUACGAUUAGUUUAGUGAAGCGUUUAAUGUCAAUUGUUAUAGUGUAUAUCGAUUGUACGUAGAAUUAUCGUUGUUUUUAGGUAAAUUUAUUCAGUAAAUAUCGCUAGAACAUAAUGCCGGACUGGACGUGGUUGGUGUUUGCCGCGGUGUUUGGGGCCGUGUCGGCACUGUCUGUGCCGCUGGCUCUCCUCAUCUACUUCGUGCGCCCCUUCGAGAAGAAGACACAGACUACUGAAGACUACAGCCUGCCUGUGACUUUGCCACCCGAGGUACUGAACGAGCUAACUCGUGGCCUAGGCAAUUCGCCAGAGGGCGCUCUGAACACGAUGCUGCAGUUCAUCUUCCAACAAAGCACGGCUGAUACUCGGUGGCUGCGCCGACGCAUGGCUUCGGAACUUGCAGAGUUGCUUGCCAAGACAUCGUCGGGGAAGAUCUUCGAGUCACUCACGCUGCGUUCUCUAGAAGUGGGCACGGAGUUCCCCAGCAUCACAAACCUACGUCUGGUCUCCGGUGAACUAGAGGAGGACGGGGCCCGCCUGCGAGCUCUCGACCUCAAGUUCGACCUGGCGUAUGAUGGCAACUUCAGGAUCGAUGUGGAUGCCGUCAUGCUGCUGGGGAAAAUCGCUAACAUAUCUAUUACUGUGGAGAGCAUAAGCGGUAACGUAAGAGUGAUGUUUCGUCGCAAUCCCUACACACAUUGGGCCCUCGCCUUCGAGACACAACCGAAACUUGAGCUCCGAGUUCGAGGCAGGUUCCAGGGAAGGCAGAUCAAGCCUAGACUGGCUUCAUUAGUGGCCUCACACAUUAGACGAGCCGUGGCACAAAGGCAUACGCUGCCUAAUUAUAAAAUACGAUACAAGCCGUUCUUCCCGAAGUCAGACCCCGGCAGUACGGAAGGCGACGAAGGGCCGUGUCCACACGGGCGUCUAACUGUCCGACUAAUGGAGGUCACGCGGUUGCAGUGGUCGGGAGGAACCGCUACUGUGCGCGCGGCCUUAGCUGUUGACUCACAUGGAUGGGUAUCACUUCGGCGCGGAGUGCUGGUAUUAGACGUGGUGUUGCCAGCAGUAGCGGGGCCGUUGGGUCUCGUGUGUUGCCAGGGUGUGGGAGCGGUGUUGGUCGACACAGUCGUGCCAAUGUCGCCCGCUUACCGCGCCGAUUUGAGGAGGGAUGAUAUCGUGCUGGCUAUUGAUAAUAAACCCGUCAAUAAUGUUGCUCAGGUGGGUAAACUCCUCCGCCUAGUAGAACGCCGCGCGGUCACAGUGCGCGUGAAGCGCGGCGGCAGCGGCGCGGCGGCGCGACGCGACGAGGCCAGCGAGCCCAAGCGCAUGAAGCCCAACUUCUCCUUCCGACGAGUGUCUGAGGUCAUGGAGGGGGUGAGGCUCCAGGGUAUGAGGGCUGCGGCUUCGAAGAGUAAUUUGCAGGAACCUGAAUCCAGCCCAGCGAAAACAGUAGAACCGCAAAACGAGACUGAUGCACAAGCCAAAUCUAAAACAGAGGCAGCGCGCCAACCGAAGCCUUCCGAACAGCCUUCGGCUAACUUCGGGCUUCGCAAGCGUCGCUGCUCCGUAGAAAAUAAGUCUUCCGAUAGCUCCGCCGGCAGUACCCCGCCGGCCUCCGGUGCCAGCACACCCCUGCGACAAGCGAACGUUAUCAAUAAAACCGUCAAACACCCCGACAUACCCAUCAUCAGAACUGACUCUUCAGAAUGUAGGGUAGCAGAGAAAGAGACGGCUGAAGAAGAAGAACAAAUGUUCGAGGUUGGAGGUCCAAGACAAUGCGAACAUGUUGAGAUUUGCCAAAUGUUCUGGACUAAACACACACCUUUAAAACCUAUUAUACCGUUCGAUGAGGAAACGGAGUUCAAACUAAAUGAGAAUCAUAAGUAUUUGAAUAUUAACGUCUGGGCAACAGUAGCUGGUGAAAAAGAAGAGAUUUUGUUAGGAUAUCUUAAUAUUCCUCUCACAGCUUUGUUAGCUGAAUGUCAGGAUUCCACGGUACCUCAUCACAUGAAGAGGUACCAGUUCUUACCGCCUGAUGUUGAUAUAAAGUUCAGCAAAAGCCACAAGUUAUCAUCUCACGCUGGCUUCGAGCCCUGCCUCUGUUUUGGGGACGCACUAGUCUGGUGGGAAUGGGAAGGUCUGGGCCCCGCCAGAACCGCACCCCGGACAAGCCGGGACCCCGUGCUACCCAGGCCCCCCAAACCGACUAGAGCAAGCCAUGACUUCGUGCGAACACAUUUCCAUAGAUCAACUCAAUGCGAUUUCUGCAAUAAGAAGAUAUGGCUGAAAGAUGCGAUGCAGUGCCGCAACUGUGGUCUCUCUUGCCACAAGAAAUGCGUCACAAAGUGUCAAGAGUCUUCGCCAUGUAUUCCAAAGCAGGAUAGAGAUUCUUCGAACACGCUAAGCUGCCCUCCACCCGAGUUGAUCAUGACCGAAGCGGACUCGAUUGCUGACCCCGAUUCCGAUGAUGAACCCGAGAGGAAAGACUCCCUCGAUGUUCAUGAGGAGGGUGGAGGUGCAAUGAGCGCUCUGGUGGCCGGACUUAGACGAGCAGGGUCCGCCCAUUCCCUCUCAGCGCCGAAGACAAAUGCCUCUUCUAGAUCCUUACCACCAUCACCGAGUCACACGCCCAGUUCGCACAUCAUAAUGUCCUUCAACGUUUGAAGACACACAAGCCCGUGUGACGUAAAGGAAGCAGUCGCUGGAGUCGGGCAACCCGUUCGGCGCGUGCGGCGCGACGUGGCUGGCGAAGGGCGGCGUGAGCGCAAUGCUGGCGCCGGCGCUGCGCAGCGCUCUGCCGCCGGACGUGCUGCUCGCGGCCGCGCGGGACUCCGCGCCUGAGCUCGCCAGCAGGCUCACCGCCCAACAGAUACAUGAGAUGUUACUAGCCGUACGAGAAGAGUUAUCAGCCGAGGACGCAAGCAGCGCGGGCGACGGCCCAGGCGGCGAGGUCCGCGCAUGCGCACUGACCGCGCUCAUGCUGCACUGCUGUGCAGCAGCGCAACUCGCGCAGCAGCUGACCGACGCGCCUACUUGAUGAUAUUACAUUAUUGUUCAUUGUGAA
rnacentral:misc_RNA from 1 species